rnacentral:lncRNA from 1 species
UGCCCUAUUAGAAAUCUCUGCCGCCAAGUAGAACCUCCAGUGCCAAGAAUGGGUUGCAACUAAUUGAAUUGUUGGCCAAAGGGGCUCCAUGGAAAUCUCCAAAUAGUUCAGGCUUUUGCAGAGGUUAUUGGUUCCUGCCCACAGGCUGAUGCAAGGCCCCAUUACUGAAGUUCUGAAUCUUACAUAUCUCACUGACCGUGGAAAAGUUAAGCUGGUGCCUAACUCGAGCCUUUACCCCCGGUGACUAGUGUUCAUGGAACUGGAUGGUAUCCUGGUACUCAGCAUGCCACCAGCGGAGAAAGUUCUCCUCAUUUGAAUUUCGUCUGACUGGAUCAUGUGUAGGUCUUACGAUUGCCGUCACAGCUGCUACAAGUUCACAUGUGCAACUGCCCCGCUGUGACUAGAAUACACUGCUUUGCUAAAGCCACUCCCUGCCACUGGCUCUCACAACCUUUCCAAUCUCUUCUAUGGUGAUCCCUGGGUUUAGGAGGAGGGGGUGUAGUGUUUGGGGUUCUAGUUUACCCCAUUGUCCAACAGCUCGGGAAGAGGAUAUCUCCCUCUACAUAGGUGGCCUAGACUCACUAUGUAGACCACAUUGGUCUUGAACUCACAGGGAUCAACCUGCCUUGUGCUGGGGUUAAAGGCAGGUGCCACCCCACCUGGCUGAAUUCAUUUUGUAUGUUGAGUAUGUGCCUAUUUUAGGAAGCUUCUACAGUAACAGGUUACCAUGCACUUUUUUCAAAGGGUGGUAUUAGUGACCCUCCAUAUGGCUGCUCUUCAUGAUAACGAUGGAAUGGAAGCAGCCUCUAUGUCCAUUAACUGACUGAUGGGAGUGAGCGUGGGAUAGUUAUACAAUGGAAUAGCAUCCUGCUCUUACGAAGAAUGGAAUUUGCAGCUAAAUGGAUGGAACUGGAACCUGCUAGAGUGAGUCGGGUAACCCGCAUGCCGAAGGAUGAGCAUCCUCUGAUACUUGGAUGCUGUCUUUGACUCUUUAGAUUAGAUAUUUAUAUUAAAAAAGAAAUACCCACAGCAUUCAAGUCAGUUGUAAGGGGCUGAGGCUGAGGCCUGGCUGUCUCUGCUAGGGCAUGUCACUGCUGUUGCUAACCUGACCCUACCAAAGUGGACUGCUGGUAUAUUCAUGAAGUAUUUGCAAGUGGAUGGAGCUGCCGCUGCCUGCUAACCUAUGAGCUGAACUGCUGAUUUCCAUACAACGCAGAUUGGAAUUGCUCCAAAGAACCUUUCUAAACAGGAGGGUUCCAGUGAAGGGAGGCCAAGUGUCAAGUGUGGGCAGAGAGAUGAAGUCUCUGCCGUGCCUUCCAGGUCAUUCAGUAACUCCAAGAGUCGAUCUGCACUGAGUGGGGUCGGGCUAGGCCAACAAGAAGCCAACUAUCCUGUGAGGAGUGCGGUGGAACCUCAGGUGGCUCUUUGGGAGAGAAGAUCUCUUCCCACCUGUUACAGCUCUUGGAACAAAAGACUCAGAGAUGGAGUAGUACUUGCACACAGGGUUCGACAGCAGGAUCAUAUACAUUCCCUUCCCCACAGCUACUCCUAGAUUGAGCUUCAUCUCCCUACCCACCCAACUUCACAUUUUUUUAUAUCUUAAACCUGUCAAGUCAGUUUGUGUUGGCCAGCUACUCUUGGCUGUAGAAUCUAUUAUGGAGUGUAGUCAGUGUAAGUUCACACCGUAAGGAAACUGCCUCUGCCCCUGCAAGCAGCUAAUAAAGGCCAGUAGCUCCUAAACUAAGGGAGGGACUACAUUUGUACCUUGCAUGCCCUGGUGCUGGGAUUUUGUUGGCCUUGAGUUUGUGUGGGUCUUGAGCAAGCCAUGACAAUAGAUCUAACUACAACUGUACUGCUGCUGUGUCAAGAACAUACUGUUUCCUUGAAGUCAUCCAUCACCUCUGGCUCUUACAAUUUUUCCAUGCCUCUUCUUCAAAGGCCCCUGAGCCGUGAGGGGAGAGGUAUAAUGGGAACAUCCUGUUAGGGCUGAGUAGCCUAAAGUCUCUUACUCUCAGCAUACUGACCAUUUGUAUAUUAGCCAUUGUUAAUGGCAGGCUGCAGGUAGAUGGAUGGUGCUUUCUGUGGAAGGUGUUCAGUCCAUGUGGUCCUAAGGUAACAGGGGUAGAUUUACAGUAUGGGCGGGAGUUACUACCUGGCAUGCCCCAGGUCUCCUGGUGCGCUGGUAGCAGGGGUGGAAGAUCGUCUUUUCUCCAUUGAGUAGGCUUGGUACCCUUAUCAAAAUCAUUUUUGCAGUGUAUGCAAGGGUUUAUUUAUGCUGCCUAUUUUAACAGCUGGAAACAUCAAAAUCAUGACUAUUGAAUGCUGUGGAGAAAUUGGUAUUCUUACCAUGUUUAAUAAUGUUUUUAUGACUAUAUAAUAAAAGGAAAAAGGGGG